rnacentral:rRNA from 1 species
AUGGAGUGUGGCAAGCCAGCCAUGGAGGAGGAGGGGGUCCAGAGGAUCACCGGCUCCACACCAAUUUCGGAGAUUGAUGCUGAGGCAGUGAUGGAGGCAGAUGCCCAAGAUACCGAUGUAUCAGAGAAACCUGAUCCCAUUCCCACCAACACAACGGCAAAAGUGUCCAUAAACAGUGAUGGCCAUGAUCGAGCUGACACUGAUUGUGUUGACGACGAUGAGGUAGACAGAGGCAAAUCAGAGGCACAAUUAGCCAAGGAGAAGAGGGUGAUGUCUACCGAGGAGCUCAAGUUUGAGUCCUUCCGUCGUGGCUGGGAGACUGCGUUUAGCCGACGCAGCGGCCACUUCCUUAACAAGACGACAGUGAGUUCCAUGCAGUUUACACACUUGGCACCUGGGCGCAUCCCAUGCGGCGCUGGCAUAGAACCUGCCGUGCAGAUCUUCUCUGUCAAGCUUACAGAGGUGAAAGGCGGCUUCAAAUUUCCAUUGUCUGUGUAUGGUGUGGUCGCUGCCCGUGAUGGCGUGGACUACAACCGCAACCUUCUCUUCUUUUGCGAUAGGAGCAACUCCCAAAAACUUACUCAAAAUGAUCCUUAUCUGCACCUGAUCGGCCCGUCUCGCGCUGUUUUCUUUGAGGACUAUGUUAAUUAUGAGGUCCAGCUUAUGGUGAAAGGCAGCGUGAAGUCUCGGGACAGGCCGUUGAUCACAGAUACAUACCGCCAUAUCCAAUGCCGUAUUGGUGUAUCCACCAUCUGCUUUCAGAACUGCUUCUGCACGAUGGAGUUACGCUUGGAGCGAUUUCUAGGUUCGGUCCAGGCCACCAUCUUUGGCGUACGUGUCGUCAAAGACAAUGGGGCGUGGCCUUUUGGACAUGGUGUUCGGGUUGCUUGCUCCCCAGCAUCACGGGAACUUAUGGAGGACAGUGAUGGUGAAAUCAAGUAUGUUGCUCAGCCUUCGUCUGGGGAAAUCUUGCUGCUUGAUUCAAAAGAUGGAAGAAGACCUGCGCAUUCAGAUGGAUACCUUUAUCUGUCAAGGCAAGUUGUUUCUGUAGAACCAAGCGGACAGCUGGAAGUUGAAAUACAGGCCUAUGCACCACCCGGCGUUCUCCCUGCAAAAGCUCAGGUCUGCUUCGAAGCCCAAGAAUGCAACAUAGAUCGUGGUCGGUGUUGCCUCCUCGGUGCCGAGGUGGAGAUCUGUGUUGCUUGGUCCCGUCUUGCUUCGGACAUGGAGAUGCUUGCGGGUGUUGGCUGGGAUUUUCAAAGGGAUGAACCAGAGGUUGCGUUCACACAAGUGGGGCUGAAUGGAGAGCCUGACACGGAACGAAUCUUUUAA